CAGAGCCGCGGGACCAGUGCGCAGGGCUGCGAAAUUGCCAUAUGCCUAGGGUGCUAAAACUCCUAGCGCCGGUCCUGAAAAUCACAUGCUCAAUGUU